GUAUUUUAUUUCAGUUGUGGUUUGUCAGUUGAAGUGGCACGUGCUUACGCUUUUGUUUAAAAACCUGUUAUUGUGUUUUAUGAGGAUAUUGCACUAAAGGCUUUCAACGUAAUAAUGUCCUUUCGCCUAAAAAGGAUUCAGCAGCUUUUAAAGCAGCUGCAAUCUAUCAAUGAGGAUGCAUCGACCGAACAGUCUAUGUCUGACUACACAAGACAUUCCUUUUCUUGUUACAUCACCAAAGAAAGGCAAGAAACGUCAACGGAAUACUGAAAACUUACAGAGAACUGAAGAGAAAUCUUACAAAAAAAAAA
rnacentral:lncRNA from 1 species